UCGACUCCUAAGGCGAGGCCGAAAGGCGUAGUCGAUGGGAAACAGGUUAAUAUUCCUGUACUUGGUGUUACUGCGAAGGGGGGACGGAGAAGGCUAUGUUGGCCGGGCGACGGUUGUCCCGGUUUAAGCGUGUAGGCUGGUUUUCCAGGCAAAUCCGGAAAACCAAGGCUGAGGCGUGAUGACGAGGCACUACGGUGCUGAAGUGACAAAUGCCCUGCUUCCAGGAAAAGCCUCUAAGCAUCAGGUAACAUCAAAUCGUACCCCAAACCGACACAGGUGGUCAGGUAGAGAAUACCAAGGCGCUUGAGAGAACUCGGGUGAAGGAACUAGGCAAAAUGGUGCCGUAACUUCGGGAGAAGGCACGCUGAUAUGUAGGUGAAGCGACUUGCUCGUGGAGCUGAAAUCAGUCGAAGAUACCAGCUGGCUGCAACUGUUUAUUAAAAACACAGCACUGUGCAAACACGAAAGUGGACGUAUACGGUGUGACGCCUGCCCGGUGCCGGAAGGUUAAUUGAUGGGGUUAGCGGUAACGCGAAGCUCUUGAUCGAAGCCCCGGUAAACGGCGGCCGUAACUAUAACGGUCCUAAGGUAGCGAAAUUCCUUGUCGGGUAAGUUCCGACCUGCACGAAUGGCGUAAUGAUGGCCAGGCUGUCUCCACCCGAGACUCAGUGAAAUUGAACUCGCUGUGAAGAUGCAGUGUACCCGCGGCAAGACGGAAAGACCCCGUGAACCUUUACUAUAGCUUGACACUGAACAUUGAGCCUUGAUGUGUAGGAUAGGUGGGAGGCUUUGAAGUGUGGACGCCAGUCUGCAUGGAGCCGACCUUGAAAUACCACCCUUUAAUGUUUGAUGUUCUAACGUUGGCCCGUAAUCCGGGUUGCGGACAGUGUCUGGUGGGUAGUUUGACUGGGGCGGUCUCCUCCUAAAGAGUAACGGAGGAGCACGAAGGUUGGCUAAUCCUGGUCGGACAUCAGGAGGUUAGUGCAAUGGCAUAAGCCAGCUUGACUGCGAGCGUGACGGCGCGAGCAGGUGCGAAAGCAGGUCAUAGUGAUCCGGUGGUUCUGAAUGGAAGGGCCAUCGCUCAACGGAUAAAAGGUACUCCGGGGAUAACAGGCUGAUACCGCCCAAGAGUUCAUAUCGACGGCGGUGUUUGGCACCUCGAUGUCGGCUCAUCACAUCCUGGGGCUGAAGUAGGUCCCAAGGGUAUGGCUGUUCGCCAUUUAAAGUGGUACGCGAGCUGGGUUUAGAACGUCGUGAGACAGUUCGGUCCCUAUCUGCCGUGGGCGCUGGAGAACUGAGGGGGGCUGCUCCUAGUACGAGAGGACCGGAGUGGACGCAUCACUGGUGUUCGGGUUGUCAUGCCAAUGGCACUGCCCGGUAGCUAAAUGCGGAAGAGAUAAGUGCUGAAAGCAUCUAAGCACGAAACUUGCCCCGAGAUGAGUUCUCCCUGAGACUUAGAGUCUCCUGAAGGAACGUUGAAGACGACGACGUUGAUAGGCCGGGUGUGUAAGCGCAGCGAUGCGUUGAGCUAACCGGUACUAAUGAACCGUGAGGCUUAACCUUACAACGCCGAAG
rnacentral:rRNA from 1 species